CAAUAGCGUAUAUUUAAGUUGUUGCAGUUAAAAAGCUCGUAAUUGGAUUUCGGGUGGGACGCAGCGGUCUCGCAUUGCGUUUGUACUGCUGCAGCCCUCCUUCUUGCCGGGGGCGGCCUCUCGGACUUCACUGUCUGGGGGUCAGAAUCGGCGAUGUUACUUUGAGUAAAUUAGAGUGUUCAAAGCAAGCUUACGCUCUGAAUAUAAUAGCAUGGGAUAACACGACAGGACUCUGGCCUAUCGUGUUGGUCUAUAGGACCAGAGUAAUGAUUAAGAGGGACAGUCGGGGGCAUUCGUAUUCCGUUGUCAGAGGUGAAAUUCUUGGAUUUACGGAAGACGAACAUCUGCGAAAGCAUUUGCCAAGGAUGUUUUCAUUGA
rnacentral:rRNA from 1 species